CUUACCAAUUUUUUUUCCUUAGGCUAUUUUGGCUAGGUUAGAAUAAAGAGGGAAGGAAAAAGGGAAGGGAGCAUUAUGCUCCUUGGGCUGGCGUGGAAGAGAGAAGAGAGAGAGAGAGGGAGAGCACGAAAUUAGAGAGAGAGAGAGAGAGAAGAGGAAGAAAGAAAAGAGAAGAAGAGGAUUUUGAAGGUCUUGGGUAAGUGUUCUUAAGUUUAUGGUUUGAAUCCUCUAAAGUUUAUCUAUAUUUUCUUGAUGCUAAGAACUCCCUCCUUCUCUUUUUUAUUUUUUUAUUUUUGAAAUCCUUGGGAGAGUUUGAUCAAAGGUGGUGGCCAUUGUAUUGGUCCUUGAGUUCUAGUAAGAGAGGCUCGUUGUGAAGUUUGUCAGUUUUGCUUUGCUUGGACCUGAGGUUGCAAAUAGGAUUUCUCUGUGGCACGCGUUGUGAUGUGGGGAGUUCCAACAUCAGGGUGUGUAUGGCGUGGGGGCAUCCUAUGGACGAGAAAACGAACAGUUUAAUGCCAAUUUCUAUAGAAUAAUGUUAUGUUUAUUUUUAAAUUUUUAGAACUUAUCAGUGGGACUUGAACUGUAAUUAUUUUUAAAAACAUUGCGUGAAAACUAUUAUUUUCUUUUUAAACUAUUAGGCCCAACUUACAUGUUUUAGCAAGGCCCUACUGAGAUUUUACAUUUAAUAAGUGGCUUUUCUUCUAUAAGUUUAUAAGCAUGUAAAAGUUUUACAAAGUAUUAGAUUAGGUCGUUUUACAAAUGGUAUCAGAGACGGUUGUCCAUGUUUCCGAGGACCCUCCCCAUACACGAUAAAGACGAGAAAAUCUCUCCUCACCGUGUCGUAAGUAUUUGUUUUAUGUGCUAUUACUUGUUUCUGUUUUAUUUAAUUUUAUAGUUUUGUAACUGCAGUAUAGUAAGAUGCCUCCCAUUGUGAAAACUACUAAGAAACAACUACUCAAGGAAAUCCCUACGAUUGAGGAGACAACUACCCAAGGUCCAGCUUGAGGAGGAUCCCUACUAUUGGAAGAUUGCGGUGUUAAAAACAACAACGAUGGUUUGUGAUCGUAUUCAAGGGAUCAUGAACAAAAGAGGAGCUUUGCUAUGGCCCAGAGAGCAAUAUUGGGUGUUGACGGAAGCACUGUCAAUGUACUAUGAGGCCCUUCUCCAGUUGGACAGAGCAUGGCACGACGUCAUUCAAGACAACCUAGACUUUAGUACUAUGGAAUAUGUAUUCUACGAUCUUAUUGACAACUACGAUUUUAAUCGUGAGGAGCUGGUGUGGUGAAGACGGAUGAUGAAGGGAUAGAGGAGCGUUUGGAGACAGUACACAAUUUGGAAGGAGCCUUGGCAAUUCAGGAGGUAGCUCAUGCCAUACCUCGAGAGACUGCUAGGAUGAGGGUGAUGGCGAGCGCUCCCGGCUACUUUCACAUCCCAGAAGAUGUCUUUGAUUACAGCUCAGGAGAUGAGUCCAUAGUUGAGGACUAGAGUCCGUCAUGUAGAUCGUUCCAUGAAACGUUAUGAAAUGUUAAGAAAUAAGAUGGGAUAUUUUUUUAGGACCUUAAAGGAUUUAUGUUUUGGUCAUUAAACACUUUAUGGGUUGU